rnacentral:rRNA from 1 species
GAUGAACGCUAGCGGCAGGCUUAAUACAUGCAAGUCGAGGGGUAGCAAGAUUGUAGCAAUACAAUUGUUGACGACCGGCAAACGGGUGCGGAACACGUACACAACCUUCCUACAAGUGGGGAAUAGCCCAGAGAAAUUUGGAUUAAUACCCCGUAACAUAGCGAUGUGGCAUCACAUUGCUAUUAUAGCUUCGGCGCUUGUUGAUGGGUGUGCGGCUGAUUAGAUAGUUGGCGGGGUAACGGCCCACCAAGUCUACGAUCAGUAGCUGAUGUGAGAGCAUGAUCAGCCACACGGGCACUGAGACACGGGCCCGACUCCUACGGGAGGCAGCAGUAAGGAAUAUUGGACAAUGGACGCAAGUCUGAUCCAGCCAUGCCGCGUGAAGGAUUAAGGUCCUCUGGAUUGUAAACUUCUUUUAUAAGGGACGAAAAAAGGUCUUUCUAGAUCGUCUGACGGUACCUUAUGAAUAAGCACCGGCUAACUCCGUGCCAGCCGCCGCGGUAAAAC